rnacentral:rRNA from 1 species
UACGUAGGGCGCAAGCGUUAUCCGGAAUUAUUGGGCGUAAAGAGCUCGUAGGCGGUUUGUCGCGUCGGCCGUGAAAACUUGGGGCUUAACCCCAAGCUUGCGGUCGAUACGGGCAGACUCGAGUUCGGCAGGGGAGACUGGAAUUCCUGGUGUAGCGGUGAAAUGCGCAGAUAUCAGGAGGAACACCGGUGGCGAAGGCGGGUCCCUGGGCCAUUACUGACGCUGAGGAGCGAAAGCGUGGGGAGCGAACAGG